GUCCCCUUCGUCUAGAGGCCCGGGACACCGCCCUUUCACGGCGGUAACAGGGGUUCGAUCCUAGGGGACGCCA
rnacentral:tRNA from 1 species